UAGGGAAUCUUCCGCAAUGGGCGAAAGCCUGACGGAGCAACGCCGCGUGAGUGAUGAAGGUCUUCGGAUCGUAAAACUCUGUUAUUAGGGAAGAACAAAUGUGUAAGUAACUAUGCACGUCUUGACGGUACCUAAUCAGAAAGCCACGGCUAACUACGUGCCAGCAGCCGCGGUAAUACGUAGGUGGCAAGCGUUAUCCGGAAUUAUUGGGCGUAAAGCGCGCGUAGGCGGUUUUUUAAGUCUGAUGUGAAAGUCCACGGCUCAACCGUGGAGGGUCAUUGGAAACUGGAAAACUUGAGUGCAGAAGAGGAAAGUGGAAUUCCAUGUGUAGCGGUGAAAUGCGCAGAGAUAUGGAGGAACACCAGUGGCGAAGGCGACUUUCUGGUCUGUAACUGACGCUGAUGUGCGAAAGCGUGGGGAUCAAACAGG
rnacentral:rRNA from 2 species